rnacentral:rRNA from 1 species
ACUAAAUAGAUACCCCGGUAGUCCACGCCCUAAACGAUGUCUACUAGUUGUUGGUGGAGUAAAAUCCAUGAGUAAACGCAGCUAAACGCGUGAAGUAGACCGCCUGGGGAGUACGGUCGCAAGAUUAAAACUCAAAGGAAUUGACGGGGGCCCGCACAAGCGGUGGAUUAUGUGGAUUAAUUCGAUGCAACGCGAAAAACCUUACCUGGCCUUGACAUGCCACUAACGAAGCAGAGAUGCAUUAGGUGCCCGUAAGGGAAAGUGGACACAGGUGCUGCAUGGCUGUCGUCGGCUCGUGUCGUGAGAUGUUGGG